AAAGAAACAAACCCUGGAUUUCCGUGUCCAACGUUUGACUGUCUGUCUUAUAUGAAAUUUUUUUUAUAAUUAGUAUUUUCAUUGUUGUUAGAUGAUAAAACAUGAUUAAUACUUUAUGCGUGACUCAUCUUUUUAAUUUUUUUCAUAUUUUUUUUAAAUAAGACAGAUGGAUAAACUGGACACGAAAACCCAGGGUUUCAAAUAAG
rfam:Oryza barthii chromosome 1, whole genome shotgun sequence.